ACACCAUAAUAUUCAAAAAAAAAAUUCAAGGAAUUUAAAUCUUUAUUCAUAAAAUUUGGACUCUCACAUAAGUUUUGUCCUAUACGCCAUAAUUAUAUGGUGGGGGUACUUGCGGCGUCUACCCAUAGACGUAUCUUCCUUACGACGAUAUAAUAGAACGUGGUAAGUAAAUCCUCCGACUAUUGGAAUUAAUUUGGUGCCAAUGGUGAGACGUUUAUCUGCCCAUACCUGAAAAUGAAAAAAUAAAGCACAAAUGUUAUCGUAAACUUUUAAUAAACAGACAUAUAUGUCAGACAAAAAAUAUGUAAAUGUAAAUAUUUAAAUUUUCUGCAAGAAAGUAAUACAGCCACCAACUGCAGUUGCACCGAUCCUUGUCGCUUUGUGUAAACUGUCGUAUAAGCAUCUCAAUACGGCUACACCUCAUGCGACAAGUCCGGAAGUCGCACGACGGGGUAACUCCCCAAAUCUAUAAGCUAACCACCUUGGUCGUAAGUCUUUUCGCCCUUUUGAGCAAAUGGAAACAAUAUAUUUAGAUGUUUCCAACAACUCCUUUUUUAGUUAUUCGUAAAGCCCACAUGUAAUGAGCUUUCCUAAUACAGGUAAACCUAGGAUAUAAAACGCGUCUUCUAACAUACUGGUCAUCUCUCCAAUGAAAAAAUGAAAGAGAGAGAGAGACGUAUAUAAUGCAUCUAAUGUAUGGCAAAAAACCCUAAUAUUUACUUGUUAUUGCGAUGUAUUUGUAAUUUUUUGAUGGAUCUUGAAGAAGUUGAAGAGAAAAAUUUGUUUAGAUGUGAGAGAUUAUCAAAGACCAAUCUGCAUGGAGUUGAAGAAAAGAAUUUAAUUCGUAUCGGAGACUUGCAUGAUUUUUUUUUCAGGUCGACUGUUCAAGAUUUGCAUUCUGCAAAUCUGAAGAAGAUGGAGCAGUCGUGAUCUAGGGGGAAAGCAGGUACCGCAUAAUAAUUUUGGGGACAGUAAAGCUACUGCAUGAUUAUUAUGCGGACGGGAUAUAUAGCAUCGACAUAAUUAUCCUACAGAUGUCAUGGUAAUGAAAGUAAGACUUUUUGUCAUUUCCUUUCUGGGUUCAGGCUAGACACGAUUAUAUAUUGUUUGCCUUCUUAAUAACUAUAUUGCGGAUGAAGUGUUCCUAAAACACCAUUGGAUCACCUCAAGGGCGGAGCCAGAAAUUUUUUUCCUCCUGGACUACCAAGUGCCAUUUAGAUUUCCCAAAUAAUAACAAACCAUUACACGCCAAACACUCCCCCUAACUUGCUCACAAACCAACUUUUCCUACUGUCAGAACUUUUAUCGAACACCUUGAGGACGCUGUUUUAUAGCCCCUUUCUCUCCCUUGUUUGAAUGUUCAAUAACCAGUGCACAAGCACCCAACAAUCAUAAUAGAUAAUAACAAACUUGAAUAGACUAAAUUAAGCCCCAACUCCCCCAAAACUGUCAAAACCAAACUUUAUCCAACUAAUUGUAAAAACUAUGAAAUUUUACCUUCAAUGCAAAUCAGGAAGAAAUUCAUUAAAUGGUUCACUUCUAUUUUUUAUCAACUAUGAUGCAAACAAAGUUAAGGCGAUCUAACUAAUCAGCUCAGUCAAAAAAAAAUUUCAUUUAUAGUAAUAUGAAAACGUCAAAAAAGCAUACCAUUCAAUUAUCCAGAAUACAAAAGUAAAGCAAGACUCCAAUUCUUUACUUCCAAAAUAGUACUGCUAAAUAGAAAACUAAAUGAAGAUGAAGAUGUGUCGCCAUUGGAGUAUCAAAGAAAGAGGUCUGUCAAGUUUGCAGGUCCUCCUUUACUGGCUAAAGUGACAGUUAGCAGAGAUGUCAGUGAACAAGUUAUAGUUGCAUCACCCAAUUCUCUCAAGCAAAAGGCUAAAAGAAAACCACUUAUCCCUUUAAUUAGUGGGAAAUUCUCAAAAAAGAAGGGUAGCCAAGAAGUUGAGCCUCAUAAACGAGGCAGAUAGUUUGGGAUACAAUACCAUGACAAUC
rnacentral:lncRNA from 1 species